GUUGAAAAGAACUUUGAAGAGAGAGUUCAAGAGUACGUGAAACCGUUCAGGGGUAAACCUGAGAAACCCAAAAGAUCGAAUGGGGAGAUUCAGCGUUCAACGGCCCGUCUGGCUUGCGUGCGACGUCACGAUGUCGCGGUGUUAUGCGCCCUCGCCGGUGUGUAUAUACCGUGACACGUCGUCGCUGCGUCAUGACCGGCGCCGUCGGCGUGCACUUCUCCCCUAGUAGAACGUCGCGACCCGUUGUGCGUCGGCCAAAGGCUCGAAGGGUAGACUAUCGCGCUCUCUCCCCGGAGGGCGCGGCAGACCCUCGAAAGCCCGGCCCGACUGCUCGACGGUAUUCGAAUAUCACAAGGUGUGUAAUCGAGAGCCGCAUUUGAAUGCGUUCGGCGCGCCGGUCGGCUUCGGCUCGCUCGGUUAUUUUACGGACCUGGAUGCCGUUACUGGGCGCUUGCCGAGGCUUUUUGUACCGACGACGAUCUCGAACCGGCUCUGCGCGCGCGAAAGCGUUCGCGCUCUCGCGCGCUCACCUGUCGGCGACGCUUUUGCUUUGGGUACUUUC
rnacentral:rRNA from 1 species